GGGGGCGUAGCCCAACGGCAGAGGCAGAGGACUUAAAAUCCUCACAGUGUGGGUUCGAAUCCCACCGCCCCUA
rnacentral:tRNA from 3 species